rfam:Schistosoma mattheei strain Denwood, Zambia genome assembly, scaffold: SMTD_scaffold0009181
AUCCAGCUGACGGGUCCAAAAUAAGACAAGACGCGUGUCCUGGAU